rnacentral:rRNA from 1 species
AUAUGUUCGUAGGGCUAUGAGGGAGUCUAGUAGGCAAAUCCGCUAGAAUAAUCCUAGGUAGCUCUCAAGGGGAAUCUUCGGAGGAACCAAUGGUGUGGAGCUAGGCUUUCAAGAAAGAACUUCUAUCCGCUGUAGGUGACCGUACCAAAACCGACACAGGUGGGUGUGAAGAAUAUUCUCAGGCGCGCGAGAGAACUCUAGUUAAGGAACUCGGCAAAUUAUUCCCGUAACUUCGGAAGAAGGGAAGCCACAGGAUGUGAGUGAACUUGCUUCACAAAGCAUCAGGUGGCCGCAGAGAAAUGGCCCAGGCGACUGUUUAACAAAAACACAGCACUAUGCAAAGCCGCAAGGCGCAGUAUAUGGUGUGAUGCCUGCCCAAUGCCAAAAGGUCAAAGGGAAGUGUUAGCCUUCGGGCAAAGCACCGAACCCAAGCCCUGGUGAAUGGCGGCCGUAACUAUAACGGUCCUAAGGUAGCGAAAUUCCUUGUCGGGUAAGUUCCGACCUGCACGAAUGGCAUAACGAUCUGGGCGCUGUCUCAACUAGAGACUCGGUGAAAUUGUAGUAGCGGUGAAGAUGCCGUUUACCCACAACGGGACGGAAAGACCCCGUGAACCUUUACUGUAUCCUGAUAUUGGCUCUUGAUGUAGCAUGUGUAGGAUAACCAGGAGACGUCGAAGGCGGCUCGUCAGGGCUGUUGGAGUCAUCCUUGAAAUACUGGUCUUGUUACAUUGAGAAUCUAACGUUUUCCUGUGAAUCCAGGUAACGAACAUUGUCAGGUGGGCAGUUUUACUGGGGCGGUAUCCUCCUAAAAAGUAACGGAGGAGUCCAAAGCUUACCUCAUCUUGGUUGGCAAUCAAGAGAAGAGCGUAAAGGUAUAAGGUAAGUUGACUGCGAGACCUACAAGUCGAGCAGAGACGAAAGUCGGGCUUAGUGAUCCGGCGGUGGAAAGUGGAAUCGCCGUCGCUCAACGGAUAAAAGGUACUCCGGGGAUAACAGGCUUAUCGCCACCAAGAGUUCAUAUCGACGUGGCGGUUUGGCACCUCGAUGUCGGCUCAUCGCAUCCUGGGGCUGUAGCAGGUCCCAAGGGUUUGGCUGUUCGCCAAUUAAAGCGGUACGCGAGCUGGGUUCAAAACGUCGUGAGACAGUUUGGUCCCUAUCUGUUGUGGGCGUAGGAUACUUGAGAGGAGCUGCUCCUAGUACGAGAGGACCGGAGUGGACGAACCAAUGGUGAACCAGUUGUUCUGCCAAGAGCAUAGCUGGGUAGCUACGUUCGGAAAGGAUAAGCGUUGAAAGCAUCUAAACGCCAAGCCUCCCUCAAGAUAAGGUAUCCCACGAGACCCCAUGUAGACUACGUGGUUGAUAGGUAGCAUGUGUACGCACAGCAAUGUGUUUAGCUAAGCUAUACUAAUUGGUCGAUAGACUUGGUCAU